rnacentral:rRNA from 1 species
UACAGAGGGUGCGAGCGUUAAUCGGAAUUACUGGGCGUAAAGGGCGCGUAGGCGGUCUUGUAAGUUGGAUGUGAAAUCCCUGGGCUUAACCUGGGAACUGCAUUCAAAACUGCUUGACUAGAGUUUGGUAGAGGGUAGUGGAAUUCCCGGUGUAGCGGUGAAAUGCGUAGAUAUCAGGAGGAACACCAAUGGCGAAGGCAGGUCUCUGGGCCAUUACUGACACUGAGGAGCGAAAGCGUGGGGAGCGAACAGG